UACGUGGGGUGCAAGCGUUGUUCGGAAUUACUGGGCGUAAAGCGCGUGUAGGCGGUUCGCUAAGUUCGAUGUGAAAGCCCUGGGCUUAACCCAGGAACUGCAUUGAAAACUGGCGGACUUGAGUCCGGGAGAGGGUCGCGGAAUUCCUGGUGUAGAGGUGAAAUUCGUAGAUAUCGGGAGGAACACCGGUGGCGAAGGCGGCGACCUGGACCGGUACUGACGCUGAGACGCGAAAGCGUGGGGAGCAAACAGG
rnacentral:rRNA from 1 species